AGACUUAAUUACUUCUCUGUCUACUUUUCUUACUCCAUGUAGGUUUCCCAGAGACUAUGGGUUGAGGAGGAAUUGGAAGUUUGUCGGCUUAGACCUGUGUCAUUCCAUCAGUGUUAAACUUCCCGGCUCAUCUUGGAAGAGUACGUGCCAGAAAGACCACAACCAAGCAGCCUUGAGAUCUUAGGCAGCGUCUCCCUCAGGUUGCUCUCUAUCUCCCCACACAUCCACCAACCACUGGAACACAUCUCCAAAGUUCUGCCGGGCCAGUUCAGCUUCCCCUCAGAAGAAGU
ensembl:lncRNA